rnacentral:rRNA from 1 species
UACGGGGGGGGCAAGCGUUGUUCGGAAUUACUGGGCGUAAAGGGCUCGUAGGCGGCCAACUAAGUCAGACGUGAAAUCCCUCGGCUUAACCGGGGAACUGCGUCUGAUACUGGAUGGCUUGAGUUUGGGAGAGGGAUGCGGAAUUCCAGGUGUAGCGGUGAAAUGCGUAGAUAUCUGGAGGAACACCGGUGGCGAAGGCGGCACUCUGGGCCGGUACUGACGCUGAGGAGCGAAAGCGUGGGGAGCGAACAGG